CCUGUUUAUCUUAGUGCGGACGGGUGAGUAACGCGUGGGUAACCUGCCCUGUACAGGGGAUAACACUUAGAAAUAGGUGCUAAAACCGCAUAAGCGCACAGUACCGCAUGGUACAGUGUGAAAAACUCCGGUGGUACAGGAUGGACCCGCGUCUGAUUAGCUGGUUGAGGGGUAACGGCCCACCAAGGCGACGAUCAGUAGCCGGCCUGAGAGGGUGAACGGCCACAUUGGGACUGAGACACGGCCCAAACUCCUACGGAAGGCAGCAG
rnacentral:rRNA from 1 species